GGGCAUGCGGCGCAUUAGGUAGUUGGUGGGGCAACGGCCCACCAAGCCGACGAUGCGUAGGGGUUCUGAGAGGAAGGUCCCCCACAUUGGAACUGAGACACGGUCCAAACUCCUACGGGAGGCAGCAGUGAGGAAUAUUGGUCAAUGGCCGGAAGGCUGAACCAGCCAAGUCGCGUGAGGGAAUAAGGCCCUACGGGUCGUAAACCUCUUUUGCCAGGGAGCAAUGCCGUCCACGUGUGGACGGAAGGAGAGUACCUGGAGAAAAAGCAUCGGCUAACUCCGUGCCAGCAGCCGCGGUAAUACGGAGGAUGCGAGCGUUAUCCGGAUUUAUUGGGUUUAAAGGGUGCGUAGGCGGCCUGCCAAGUCAGCGGUAAAAUUGCGGGGCUCAACCCCGUACAGCCGUUGAAACUGCCGGGCUCGAGUGGGCGAGAAGUAUGCGGAAUGCGUGGUGUAGCGGUGAAAUGCAUAGAUAUCACGCAGAACCCCGAUUGCGAAGGCAGCAUACCGGCGCCCGACUGACGCUGAGGCACGAAAGUGCGGGGAUCAAACAGGAUUAGAUACCCUGGUAGUCCGCACAGUAAACGAUGAAUGCUAGCUGUCCGGGGGGAUUGACCCCUGG
rnacentral:rRNA from 1 species